ACCGAUUUCUCUUGGUGUUGAGAGUGAAACUUUAGCCUAGCACCAUUUGAAAUCGGUUA
rnacentral:pre_miRNA from 1 species